AGUGGGGUUGCUGGGUCAUAUGAUAAUCCUAUGUCGAGCUUUUUGAUGAAAUACCAGACUAUUUUCCAAAGUGGUUGCACUGUUUUACAUAUCCAUCAGCAAC
rnacentral:pre_miRNA from 1 species